rnacentral:rRNA from 1 species
GCAGUCGAGGGGUAAUCACACUUUCGGGUGUGAACGACCGGCGCACGGGUGCNUAACGCGAUAUGCAACCUACCCACAACUGGGGGAUAGCCCGGAGAAAUCCGGAUUAAUACCCCAUAAUGCAGGGGUACUGCAUGGUACUAUUUGCUAAAGAUUUAUCGGUUGUGGAUGGGCAUGCGUCUGAUUAGUUAGUUGGUGAGGUAACGGCUCACCAAGGCGACGAUCAGUAGGGGGUCUGAGAGGAUGAUCCCCCACACUGGUACUGAGAUACGGACCAGACUCCUACGGGAGGCAGCAGUAGGGAAUAUUGGUCAAUGGGCGGAAGCCUGAACCAGCCAUGCCGCGUGCAGGAUGACGGCCUUCUGGGUUGUAAACUGCUUUUAUCAGGGAAGAAAACGGUCAUGCGUGACAGAUUGACGGUACCUGAAGAAUAAGCACCGGCUAACUCCGUGCCAGCAGCCGCGGUAAUACGGAGGGUGCAAGCGUCNUCCGGAUUUAUUGGGUUUAAAGGGUGCGUAGGCGGAUUAUUAAGUCAGUGGUGAAAGUUUGCGGCUCAACCGUAAAAGUGCCAUUGAUACUGGUAGUCUUGAGUACAGUAGAGGUAGGCGGAAUUUAUGGUGUAGCGGUGAAAUGCAUAUAUACCAUAAAGAACACCGAUAGCGAAG